CGCAUCUGUUGUGUCGCUGUUCAAUAAUUCAGCUAGCCAACGUAGGCAACGCAAACACUCCCUUUUUCAUAUUUGCAUACUUGGAAUUUGGCUUUUUGAUUCACGGUUGUUCCCAUUAGCUUUGAAAAUGCACGUCCCUGUCUAGUUGCGUGUUUUGCUUGAGUGAGCUCAAAUUAUGCUCUUGACUCAAAUAUUAUUACCAGUGUAAAUACUUUGGAGAUGUAAGUGUCUGCCCCUGAUGCGGGGGGUGUUUGUCUUAUUGAUUUUCAUCUGGCGAGUUUAAAAUAUGAGCAAACUUUUCAUGGAGGGUUCGGGGGCAUUUGUUUGAACACUCCUGGAGUAAAUUGGAAAUGCAACAAUUGUUUAAAAAGUGGCAUUGUCCGUGAAAAGAUUUAGUGAGGGAUGAAGAAAUUUCUUGAACCUAAAGACCUAAUCUGGUGAUCCAAUUCUCCCCACUGUGUCCAUUCCCGUGAAACUCCAUUGACUCGGCCCUGUCCAUCGCCAGCGCCCCGCAUCCCACCUAGCCAAUCCUCUAGAUUUCCCACAUUGUCUCCCCUUUUGUCUUCUCCGUCCAAACAGAAGAACAACAGAUAGGGUUCUGAAGGGCAGGGAGCAUCAGGAGCUGCAGGAGAAUGGCUGCGAUGAGGGUCAGAGUCCUGCCCCUACUGCCAACAGUUACUACGGUUUGUGCUGCCCGGCUGAACAGUGUUCAAAGGCUUUGCUGGGCUUUGUUCCACUGUGUAGGGAUUAGGCCUGGCGGUCUGAGAAUUUGCCUUCUAAUUAAAAAGGAUAAAAGAUAGAAGUAGCAUUAGUCUAAAACAGAGCAGUGAUACUUCACAGGCUGAUUUCUUUUUUUUUUUUUUUGAAAGUCACAAGACAACGCUGGAAGUUGUCGGGAUAUUUUUAUUUCUUCGGCGUGCCGUUCCAACGAAAAAGGGAAAACUUUGGAAACUCUUCCCAGCUAUUGUGCGCGGCCCACAGAGGUCUAAUUGCAUCUAAAAUAUCGGCUGUUUACAGUGAGGCCGUGUGGGUGAGGGGGUUUGCCGUCAGCGUUGGGGAAGGAAGGCGGCUCCCACAGCCUCCUUCUUCUUUUUUUACAGUGCUGGCAAGAAAUUAAUUCUCCCAAAAGUGAAUUCUGCUUCUCACUCCACCCUAGUGUGCCUGGCGCUCAAGCCUCCCCGAUGCCUACCCUGCCUCUUCCUUUGUCAGGGAUCAAUCACUCCUUUCAUCUCCUUGCUGCUGUGGACACUAUUUUCACCAGGUGUGAAAUGCAAUUAAGAACUAAUUCUGGCCUCACAGUCUUUUUUUCUCCCCUUCUUCUUCUUUUCUUUAUAGCAAUCUGGUGGAUGGCACGUUUGAAUCUUUCACAUCAGCCCUGUUCCCGUUCUGUGCCGGUAAAUGUGAUCCUGUGCCUACACUGGUUCAGAAGGAAGCUGUGCAGGGACCCCAGGGCAGGCUAGCAGCCUCCACACGGAGGAUGUACCGCCGAGAAGCGUGCUUGCCCGCCAUCCAGCGCACCCUUCCUGCCAGGUCCAAAGAACUAUAUGCUGACAGGAGAGACACAACUGGCACUUGUUGAAUUGCACAGGCACCUGGGAGUGAUUUGCCAGGUACUCCGCAGACGGGGUCUGCCCACUCCAUCACAGGAAGGAAUUGGAGCAAGGUCUGAAACAGAUCAGCUCAACAGGAAUCGUCCUUUCUGAAGAUUAAAACCAUCACACUAGUUCUGCGAAGGGCAUCCUAGAGAGCCUGUCGUUGACUUUCUGCUUUUUGUUUCUGGAAAAAGGGCGUUGGGGGAGGGAAGGCCUAGGAGAGGAGCUAUUGGCUUGGAGAAUAGACUUGGACGCGUUGCAAGCUCUGGAAACAGAUUUCUUUAUCCGCAAGCCAGGCUGGAGCACAUCCUCGGCCUGCGAUUGGGAGCCACCUUGUCCAGCCGAGGAGACCGCCGUCCCUAGGAAGGCAUCUGAGCGGGAUGCUUUGUCACUCACGUCCACGUCUCUGGACUUUUCUCAGCCUCAGGUCCCUCCUCAGCGAGACCGUUCCAGGUUUGCCUAUCUGCGUUUUGGUGAUACGGACUGCUGUCCACCUGUGUGGGGCUGAGAUCACACGACUCCUGUCACUGGCAAUGAGAUUUGGAUGGAAACCAAGGUCAUAAGGUAACUAGCCAGUGCUUUAUCCUCUCCGCCAAGCCCUUGGUAAGGGAUUCUCUUUGAUGAGGAGAAUGGUAGUUGGCUUUUCCAGAACUUAUAUCCAAAAGAGUCAUACAUAAUGCAUUUGCCUCUGUCCUACAGCUGCCGGCACAUGCCUGAAGGCUAAUGUAAAGAUUAGUUAAUGACAAGAGCUACUUUAAAUGAAUCAAAUGCUUCAGGAAGCAAAACAUGAUCCUCCACUAACAAAAAAUAAAAAUCACAAAAGCAAAUACACCUACUUUCAACUUCUGCCCAACAAUUCACGGCGUCUCUUUUUUUUAAUGCAAGGGAGCCUCUGGCCUGUAGGACCCCCCUCACUAAUGGUGCCUCUUUCUCCGUGGUCUUAUCCUGAUGAAAUAAUGUACAGUACACAGUGCCCCUCCUACAAGGUGUAAUGAGUUCUGCUGAUGCAAAGAAUGAUCAUAUCUGCUGUCUUGGUAAUAAAUGGCUCCACCCUGGUGCCUAAUUGCAGUGAAAA